GCAACUGCAUUUGCGUUUUGGAGAUCGUUAGUAGUGGUUUCUUUAUUCGUAGUAGUUGCUAUGCGAGUGCGAAAGAGUGGACGUCGAACCUUCGUUUUGUGCGUCGUUUUCUUUUCUGUUUCUUACUGAUCGUGCUUAUUGCGUAGCGUUUGUGUUGCGAAAAUGAGUGCUUUUAAGUGCGAAGUGUGUGGACAAGAGUAUAAUUACAGAAAUGAUGUCGAUCAGCAUAUCUGCAAAAACCAUCAACAGCAGCCGCAUGUUACAGUUAGAGCGCCUGUAGCUUCUUAUCAGUGCUACGCGUGUGACAAGACUUUCUCUUAAACUUAAUUUGUAUCGCCCCCAACGAAAUAUUUAUGGUUUGCAGGAAGGGGCGUUGUUCCUUAAGUGUACGUCGUGCUCAUUAGAAAGUAGUUCGAAACGGGGUUGGAUACAUCAUUUAUAAUCUGGUCAUGAAAUUCACGAGAAUUCUGAAGAUCUGCAAUUCUCAACUGAAGAUGAGCAUUUACAGUGGAAAGAAGACACUGAACGUACGAGACAUUCAGAGUUUGUUAAAAUACAUGGGUCUACUAGCUCUACACAUUAUUAUGGUGGCAAUCGGUCAGAUAACUUUAUCUCCAAAGGUAAAAGCACAAGACAUCUUAAACUGACGGCCAGUAAUGAAAUGAAUGGAAAGUGCCAUGCAGAGAUGAGAGUAACUGUACACGAAGAUGGAACCUAUCAAGUACAUUUUGUGUCGAUUCACGUUGGUCACAAAUAAGAUUUAAGCCACCUGGCCCCGAGUCAAAAAGGGCGGGAAACCUUAGUAACAGAUACAAUAUUGCAGUAGGACUUUGCAGAGCGGAGAAUCCCUCUGACGAAUUAUAUAACACUGUAGCAAGUAACAACCUCUCCUCCAAGUCCACAUCAAAAUGAUGCAGUCCGUGUCGAAGCUUGGGUAAAAGAAAUGAACGAAAGUAAGAAUCCGAGUGCAUUAUUCUCCUGUAAACCACUAGAAGAAUCGACUAGCGAACAUCUAGAAUUGAGGAGUGAUGAUUUUGUACUAGUGAUAAUGAACGGAACAUAAUGCGAAAUGCUAUAAAAAUAUGGGGAAGACUGCAUCUGUAUUGAUGAAUCCAGUGACCACCCUAUUAGUACUGGAUGAUCUCAGACAAAGGUUUCCAUGUGCUUUUCUAAUUUCGAACAGGAAGGACGCUUAUGUUUUAGGUACGUUUUUACAGUACAUAUAAUCACAAGUUGACCAAUUUGCCCCAACGUAUUCACGUCUGAUUUUGCAGAGCCGUACAGUAUUGCAUGGAACAGGACAAUGGGAGCUCCUAAGAUGAGACACUAUUGUAUCUGCAUGAGGACAGAGUGUGGAAAACUAAUAUCAAGUGGAAAAUUGCAGAUCUGGAUAAAAGAAACGAGGCAUACUGGCUCAUUAAAUCAGUGUCAAUGUUGAGCAAUGUAAAUAUGUUUCAGUAAUAAAUGCAAAAAGCACUGCAGAAACUCAGUAGUGACCCUGACACAUCAGAAUUUUCUUCAUACUUCAUGACACACUAUGCAGGAAAUAUGGAAUGUUGGGCCAACUGUCAUAGAAUAUAUGCUGGUCUCAACACCAACAUGCAUGUGGAGAUUAUGCAUACGUUGCUAAAGAAGAUACACGGUAAUGCAAGGCAGAUAAAACGACUGGAGAAAGGCAUACCUUACAAUGAUGUCCCUGUAUGUGACUGUAGGCUUUCACAUGUUUCUCGCAUCUCUAGCCGAGCGUUAGCGUUGAUAUAAUGGUAUCGCAUGACUGGAGAUCCGAGAAACUUUCAACUGAUGUCCCUAGUUACAAUCAAGAUGUCUGACUGGCUUAUAGCAAAUGUGAAAGGGGUGGUUACAAAGUUCAGGACAUUUGUAAUAGGCAAUACUAGUUUGUUAACGAAAAAGGACCUCAUCACUGAGGUAGGUGCUAACUGGAAAGUACUAUCCACAACAUCUUCAGAGGUAUACAUUGUUUAAAAAUAACAGAGUCAGCUGUGAGUGCAAAUUAAAAUGUAUUGAUUGCAAUGUGUGCAUGCAUAGGUAUUAUUGUACAUGUAUGGAUUACGGUAUUAGAUUCCAUAUGUUUAAGCACAUUCACAGUGUUUGCCAAGAUGACAUUGUGGGUGAAAACCUCUUGGAAAGUCCUGAAGUACUGGGUAAUGAUGUUGAUGCUGAAACUAACUGUGAGAGAGAAGCAACAUUAGCCAAAGUAAGCAGAAAAUCUGUUUCAAAAACACUAAAAUCAUUUUAGAAUGGAAACAGAAGCUUAUUUCUGUAUUUUUCAAUAUUAUCUAUGGAGUGACAGAGACUGAAGUGCAGUUAGGAAAAAAAGUGUUACCUUUGAAGGUAAAUGUAGGAGCUGUUUGAGCCCAAAAAAGUUACUUCACAGAAAAAGAUAAAAGACAGAAAAGAUAACUUACACUACAACGGAGACUACUUUUCACCAAGAAGGGAACAGCAUGUAAUAUUUCUCUGGCUGUUCCAGAUGCUGAAGAAAUCUGUGAAAUAGUAAGAUCACGUCUGGGUGAGAGUAUGUAUCAAUUGAUAUGUCUAUGCAUUGAACCUGGGAGAGUAAAUUAGCUCGACAUGAAUCAUGAUGUUCCUGUGGAGCAUAGCCAUACAAUUCCAGAUGUACAGCACAGCAAAACAGGGCUUGACACCAAAAAUCAAUUCCCUGUUGUGGAGCAACCAUGCACUAUGUUAUGGCAGCCACCUGUUCAAGAUGAUGCAUCAGGACUGGACAUGAACUACAUUGUUUCUGUGUAGUAUGGUCAUGCCAUAUCAAAUGUGCUGCACAGCACAGAUAAAACAUCAUAUCAAAUGCCUGUGGCACUGCUCUAAUGACUUCAUAUUAAUUAAUAAUGACAGAUUAGGUUGUAGUUAGAAUGUUGCUAUCAAGUAGUGGUGUAGUGUGGCUACAUUCUGAUUUAAAAUUUAUUCACAGUACAAAUUAUACCCCCUCAACAGUAGAAUGGGAACGGUCCCAGUUUGCAACUUUAGUAGCUCGGGGCAAGAAUAAACUCUGUCCCUUGAAGCUGAGUGAGCAGCACAUCAGAUAUGUAACAUGGUUUGUUUUAAAGAAGUAGCCCUAUUUGUUGAAGUAAUAGUGUUUCAUCUGAUGUCUGCCUGACAAAUAUGUGAAGAUACCCCUAAACUGUUAGUUGUGGAGUUAGCAGAAUAGUAGUUGUAAUUAUAUUCUUUAGAAACAGUAGAAUUUCAAUGCAGUCUUUAUUUGCAAUCUGGACGAUGGCAUCUCAAGGACCAAUUAGGGAGAUCCCAAACAUUUGGAGCUUGACACUGAUGUUCAGUCAGGCCCCUCAGGCUGUCUCAAGAGCAGAUGACCUAAUAUUCCCAACAUUGGAGUUCAGAAGGUUGGCUGGGAUCAACUGACUGCCAGAAGGAGGGUGGAAAGGACCCUGGAAUUUCCCCACCUCAGAGGUGGGGAUUGGCAUCUAGGCAACCUCAUCACGCCUAGUGAACGGCAAGUCCGAUAUGUAAAGAUAUUUCAGUUAGUAGAGCACAAUAUAAGUAUUUUUUGAUACUGGUCUUCAACGAAGUAUGGCAUUAAUCAUUAUUCACCCUGUUGCUGUUUGAUAGCAAUAUGGCAUGUCUGAAUUCUAAUUAAAUCUUUAUUUGCAGUCCAGAGUGUAAUGCUCUGGAAACAGAUGGGAAGGACCUGAUAUGUAAGCACCAUUUGAGCUUCCACUCCGUCUUCUAGAGCUGCCUCAGGAGCAGAUUUGAGAGGAACUGCCAUAUCUGUCCCCAGAACUGAAGACCACCUAACCUUUUGAGGAUGACUCAAGAGUGAGGAGGUUGAGGCAUCUCUAAUAAGUAGAAUUAGGGACUAAAAUGCUGUUGGCCUUGCCAGGUCACCGCAGUAACACUCCAAGUAGUAACAAUAAUCCAUAUAGUAAUACAUCAUAUAAAAGUGCUUUUAUAAAAUUCCUUUAAUUUCCUCAAUAAAAGACAAAAUGUCAUGUAAAGAAACCUUUUGUUGAACUGACGCAUUCCACAUAAUUGCAAAGUGUCAUAUUCAUGAUCUGUGGAACAAGUAUUAAUCUAAUCUAUAUCUAAAAACAAAGAUGAUGUGACUUACCAAACAAAAGCGCUGGCAGGUCGAUAGACACACAAACAUACACACAAAAUUCAUGCUUUUGCAACCAGCGGUUGCUUCUUCAGGAAAGAGGGAAGGAGAGGGAAAGACGAAAGGACGUGGGUUUUAAGGGAGAGGGUAAGGAGUCGUUCCAACCCCGGGAGCGGUAAGACUUACUUUAGGGGGAAAAAAGGACAGGUAUACAAUCGCACACACACACACACACACACAUAUCCAUCUGCACAUACACAGACACAAGCAGACAUUUGUAGGCCUUUGCAAUCAGUACAUUUUAAUUUACUCUCAUAGCUGACUCUGUUAUCUUUAACGGUGUGCACCUCUGGAGAUGAUUUAGAUAGUACUUCCCUGUCACCAUGUACCAUAUUAAUUAGGUCAUUGUCCAGUUUUUAACUAGUUUUGUGCUUAUGAUAAAUGUCCUGAACUUUGGUUGUAGCUUUCCCUGUUACAUUUGCUAUAAGCCAGUCAAACAUCUUGAUCUUGGCUGUAACUAUGGACAUCAGUGUAGAAAUGCCUUUGUCCAGUCAUUUUAUCUGCCUUGCAUUACCAUGUAUCUCCUUUAACAUUCUAUGCAUACUCUCCACGUGUAUGUGGGUGUUGACACCAGCAUACAUUCUAUGACAGUUGGCCCAGCACUUCAUGUUUCCCUCAUAAAGUGUAUUGAAGUAUGAAAUGAAUUCUGAUGUGUGAGGGUCACUACUGAGCUUUUGUCUAUCGCUUUGUCAAAUGGAAUUCCUAUUUCAAUACAUAUACCUAAGGUUUCCUGUUCUUUUUCACUCAGUGACGGGUGGCUUAACUGUUGCUUAUGACCAGUGUGGGUCGACACAAAAUUACUUGGUACAGUUACUUUCAUCUCAGCAGGGCAUUUUCCAUGCAUUUUGUUGCCUUUAAAUGUUUGGAGGUGAAGUUAUCUGACCAAUUGCAGAUCCAUGCAUGUUAACGAACUUUGAAUGUGUCAUACUUUCAGUUUCUUCUAUCCACUGUAUACAUUCAUUUUCACUUAAAAACUGCAGUAUUUUGAAUUCAUGGUGAUUUCAUGAGCAAUUUGUAAAUGAUCAAUCCAAUCUCCUUAAUAUUUUUAAGAGAAGAACUAUUGUCACACAUGUAAGUUUGGUAAUAAGCUACAGGCCCUUUAGUGGUAACAGGCAGUUCCUGUUGAUGGUGUUUGCAAAUAUGCUGCCUGAGAUUCAUUUCAUAAUUAAACUUGUGCUCACGCACUAAACAUUUAAAGGCACUCAUUUGACUUACCACCAUUAAUUGUUAGUUUACCUCAGAUGCAUGCAGCAAAUAAUUGCGGAGAUUGUUGUAAGUGCUACUUCAAGAUGAAUAGGUUGGCACACUACAGGAAUUUGCGUGUGUCUUUUAACGAUUUUAACACAAUGAAUAUGUUCUCUGAAACAUUUCUGAUGUAAUAUAACACAGCUGCAAAGUUAUUAAUUUUGGCUUCUUAAAAUAGUUUGGUAUUUACCAUAUAAUUGCAGUAGUUGUCUUCUAAGGCAGGACUAUUGACUUAAACAUAAGAAUGUCCUAAUCUGACACCGCUGAUAGAUUCUCAGGAUGUUUCCCAUAUCCGUACUGUUACAUCUUGUUUGCUCUUGUGAUCUAUUCACACAUGUUUUUAAGAAUUGGAAAGUAACAUCAAAAUUUGCUGGAGGAGAAAACAAAUAAGCACUCUCAAUCCUUGCAGAUUUAUUUCUGCCAUUUACAGUAAUGUAUGAUUGCUCAUUCAAUGUCAUCAUAGUUCAAGCAGGAUUUUUCCUUAAGUGCACAAUGUGACUAUGUAUUUUUGUAAUCUAUUUCUUAAUACUUUAUUAUACAUUUGUACUAAUGUAUCUGCAAUCAAAUGAUUGGCUGCAUAUUGUCAGGGUCACUCAGUAAAUGUUAAAUUAUUUUAUACAAGAUAUGAUGUAUAUAUUAUGCUGUAAUUUCACUAUACUGUUGGUACUGUAUGUAUGGAAUUAUUUCAUAUUGUUCUAAACUGUACAACUUUUAAAUGUGAAUAUGGUUUACUAUCCAAAUAAACAAUUGAAAUUGUGGCAUAUAAUAUAGCGCACAUUGUGUAUUCAACUAUAGUUUGUUAUAUUAUUUGUAGGACCAGUGAGAUUUUAACCAUCUAUGAUUGAGUCUGUAGUUUGCAAAGUGAAAUGAAUUCACUUGUAACCGUUGCACUUUUUUUAAUGUUUCAUUGUUGACAUUACUGCACCUCCAAAGAUAAUGGUAUCUUUUUGAUCCAACAAAUAUUGAGUCCUAGGCUAGACGCAGGUUGUUCCCCACAUUAUUUUACUGGGUUGUGUUAAUAACCAAUGGAAAUUUAAUGAUUCAAUAAAAUUAUAUCAAUAAGGAACUUUAUCUUAAUUAUUGCACUGUCCGUCCUCUGAAGCAAACCUCACAGGUGGUUCACAAUUUUAUCUCCAGCACCUCCCUCCAUAUAUCUCUAAAUUUAACAGAAAAAUAACCCCCGGGUUGUUAGUAAGAAGUCUUCACUCUGUCAUUCCAACCAAUAAAGCUCUUCCUGGAAGGUCUUUGAGAGAGCCAUUGCUUUGUUUGGAAAGAUAU